UCGAGGAUCUUCGGCAAUGAGCGCAAGCUUGACCGAGCGACGCCGCGUGCGGGAUGAAGGCCUUCGGGUUGUAAACCGCUUUGGUCCGGAAGUAAGGUAGGAGCAAUCCUCCUUGAACGACCGGAGAAACAAGCACGGGCUAAGUUCGUGCCAGCAGCCGCGGUAAGACGAACCGUGCGAACGUUGUUCGGAAUCACUGGGCUUAAAGGGCGCGUAGGCGGCCGGGUUGGUCGUGGGUGAAAUCCCCCAGCUUAACUGGGGAACUGCCUACGAUACUGCCCGGCUCGAGGGAGGAAGGGGCGGCCGGAACUGUCGGUGGAGCGGUGAAAUGCGUUGAGAUCGACAGGAACGCCGGUGGCGAAAGCGGGCCGCUGGCCCUCUUCUGACGCUGAGGCGCGAAAGCCAGGGGAGCGAACGGGAUUAGAUACCCCCGUAGUCC
rnacentral:rRNA from 1 species